GGAAGGGAGAGAGAAAACGUCCAAACUUAGACAUCGCUUCCGCCUUCGGGCCGCCAGAGAGCGACCUCCUUCCGCGGCAGGAUGCCGGGCCUAGCGCUCUCCACCGGCGCUGGGAGCCUCGGGGAAGGGCGCACGGCGGGGCGGGGAUUAAUCAGCUUGGAGCCGAUCGGGGCCCUUUGUCACCCAGCUCCCCUAACUAUCGCAGGUGUGCCCAGGGGACUCAGGUGAGCUAGUGACCCUAUGCCCUUCCUGCUCCCGCACACCCAGCAGCACAAGAAUCCUCGAAUCCAGAUGUUUCUAGUUGGAGAAAACAAGUUUGGUGGGGGGACCAACUCAUGCACUUGCUGUAUUAAUUGAGGGAACAAACUAACGAUUGUGCAUUUGUGUGAGAGUACGAAGACCUAGACUCAUCUUAACAAGCUGCCAGCCUUGAGUCAGCGUCGUCGGAAAUACCAUGUCAGCAUGGGGACAGCUGAGCUCCAUGCUCCAGACUGAAACACCUUCGAGAAAAGGAACUAAAGAGGGGAAAUCAGAUCCUCAAUACCAGGUGAACUGAUGAUAGAAGGCGUUAUAAGGACACGGUUGUUGAAGGUGAAUCAGAUUUCAAGCAGAACACACAGGCGAGCAGGCACCCCUGCAUCAGCCGGUCCUGGUCAGAGCAGGGCGCCCCCUGCCCUGUGAGCACGCAGCGCACCCCUUCCUCCAGCCUGAGGUCCUAGGAGCACAUCCUCCUCAUCCCUCUGCUCGGGAGGACGUGUGGACACCACCAACACCGCAUCCCUCCGACUCGUCCCGGCUGUCUGGUCCUACAGGAAUAAGGGAACUGUCCGUCCCCUGAGGGGUUUCCUCGUGACCCGAAUUAUUCCUCCUGCCCACACAGCCUGAGAGGAGAAGUGAGUUAACUCAGACUUGUCUCCACCUUCAGGCAAGUGGGUUACUGACUAUCCAGAACCCCCACAAACACCCUGAUUUUCUUUUUUCUUCAAAAGUCAUUUUGAAUUAGCUUGCCUCCUGAUUCAGUUUAAGAAAUUAAAUGAGUGAAUUAUUAUACUUUUAAAAAUUGAAGUAUAAUUGAUUUACAAUAUUAUGCUAGUUUCAGGUGUGCAGCACAAUGAUUCGGUUACACAUACAUGUAUACAUGUAUAUUUUUUUCCAGUUCUUUUCCACUGCAGUUUAUUGCAAGGUAUUGAAUACAGUUCCCUGUGCUGUACAGGAAAUCUUUGUUGUCUGUCUGUCUUACAUACAGCAGUGUGUCUACGUUAAUCCCAGACUCCUAAGUUUUCCUUAUCCACCCCCCUUCCCUUUGGUAACCGUAAGUUCCUUUUCUAUGUCUGUGAGUCUGUUUCUGUUUUAUAAGUAAGUUUAUUUGCACUAUUUUUUAGAUUCCACAUAUAAAUGGUAUCAUAUGAUACUUGUCUGGCUUACUUCACUUAGUAUGAUCAUCUCUAGGUCCAUCCAUGUUGCUGCAGAUGGCGUUAGUUUAUUCCUUUUUUACGGCUGAGUGAAUUUUUAUACUUUGAUCGCCGAGAAGCUUAAUGGAGGUAUGGUCUUCAUAGCGGUGUCUGUAAGUGUUUUAAGUGGGAUUAUUAUGGACACGUUAUCUCCCCGUUAGCGUGCCUUCUAGAUAAGACAUUUUAUUUUAGAUGACCAAUCUCCAAACAUAAACACAAUUUACAAUACUCCAUGGGCAUGGAGACAUUUUCAUCUGAAAAAGUAAUUUUUGUGUACCAGGAGCUGCAUCCACCAUAGUUAGAAGGGACAUGUGAGGGUCGUAUGUACUGAAUUCUUUACACUUGUCUGUUAUAAUUUAUUUUUAACUUGUUAAAACAAGAAAAGUGAGUUGAAAUCACUUUACAAAUACUCAUGUUUUCCUUAAAAUGGUCUGAGAAUUUUAGGUGAGACACAAUUAUUUCAUGACAAUGAAUAAUUUUGGACCCUGGGUUGUGGCUGCAGGUGACUAGACCCCCCCUAGGAAAUUCUGAGUAAGUUACAGUUUCACAUCUUGAGCAGCUUAAGUGACUGAGGCCACAGAAACAGAUAAAAUAACCUCUCAGAGUUUCAUGCAGUCUUGUUAGUUUUCAAUAAAAUUUCUGUUGCUUUUAUUUAACAAUAAAAUUUCUGCUGGUUCCGUUAGGACCAAAGCUCGUCUUCAGACUUCCGCUGUGUAGCCUACCUUUGCCCUCUUGAGGGCAGCAUCUCAUCGCCACCGACUGUCUCAGCCACUGAGCCGUCUGGACACCGGGAACUCAUGUCGUUUUUUUCUCCUUCAGGCAAGCUCAGUUCCCCUUGUUAGGGUAGCUGGAAUUUCCAUACAAUUAACUCCCUCUUAUAAAUAUUCCUGUGGAGUAACUCUGCCAGCACCCUCCUCCGACCUCACCUGCUCCCCGUCGCAGGGCCCCUCCUGUAGUGUCUCCCCCGGGAAGGCCUCUUCCUGCACCGUCUUCCUCCUCAUGUCCUCUCCUCCUGGGGGGACGGACUCCUCCUAUUCUGCUCUCUUCUCAACACCACCCCCUUGCUGAGCCCCUCCCUGGUCUCUCCUCUCAUCCCACGUUACUUUCUUUGGCUUCAAGCAUCUGUCACCAUCAGAAAUUAUCCUGUUUCUGAGCAGAAUGUCACAUGGCGGGAGCAGGGCUUCGGGCCCAGGUUCCAGAGCGGCGCCUGCACGUAGCGGACCUUUAGUUAACAUCGUCGAGUAAGUGUGUGAACACGUGAGCGAAGGGCGUAGCCCAGGACAAGCUGAGCAGAGGGGAUAGACGAUGUGGUGUUGCUCGGUCACGUUCCUCAGUGAAAGGAUGGCCUGACGCUGGUGCAAAUGGAAGUGUUGUCCAAAGAGGAUGAGUUCAAGCCCCAGUACAAACAGCUCUAACGCAAGAGAGAAAAUGGCACACCUGGCCCAAGAUGGUGCGAAAAGCCUGCCCUGGGAGCUCAGAGCCGAGAAGGACACUUACCCACGCCUUUCAUUACUGCUCAGGCAGCGCGCUGACUGCGCGGCAGAGAACAGUUGGCUGGUUGUAGAAGGGACCCAGCGUGUGACCCGCUUGAGACAGCGGUCUCUCGAGGUAGACCUCAGGGCCCUGCGCUUGGUCUCCCGGCACUUCUGCAUCGCCCUCUCACGAGCGAGCCACACGGAGGCACAGAAGGACGCUCAGGGUAAACUUGCAGCAAGCGCAACCCUGUUGUCGGGGAUGACAGAGCCGAGACUCAGAAGAGCUCCACUGGCUGAUGUGUCAUCUCAAACCAACACAAAAAACGUCACAAAGAGAAUGCAGGUGUUUUAGACGCAGAUGUUAAGAAAUCAGUUUUGCAAAUACCAGAGGUGAGAGGCCUGUUUCAUAGCAGUUCACGUGAGACAAAUUCUGAAAUUGUAAUUGACCACAAACUCAACAUUCACCAGUAUGGUUAUGAAGGCCUUCGUAUGAAUGGAAGGAGGCGGUCCAGCUUCAGUGAGGGCCGUUCCACUGCCCCGCGCUCUGGCCUGAACUGUUCAGAGAAUGGCUUUCAGAUGCGGGAGCCACAGAUACUCAGAGGGGGACGAGAGGGAUGUUCCACAAGGAAUUUUGGAAGGAAUUGGAUUGGCUUAAUUUAAAGAGGGUAGGACGGAAAUGGGGAGGGAGACCAUGAUGCGGGUGACUCGGCGUGCCGGCUUCGAGGGCAGCCUCCGCGGUAUGAGCCCCGGCCCGCCUGCUACGGGCUGAGUCCCUCGGGCAAGUAUCUCGCACCCUCAGUGUCCCAGAUGCCUCAUGUAUAAACAGAGAGUGAUGGCAGCCUCCUCAGGGGUGGGUGGGUUCCACACAGCAUCUCUAAGCGCUGGAAGCCCUGCCGACGAGGCACCCGGGGUGACAGCAGUGCCCAGCGCAGCGCACAAGCCCCGUGGCUGGGCUGGCUGGGGAGACUUAGGCCCUGACGCUGCCUCGGGACUGGUGUUUAGGAUGUGAUGACAGGAAAUGUGCCACUGACGAGAGAAUCUGUCUCAGGAAGCACAGCCUCUCACUCCACCCACUGGCGACCCGUUGCACAAUUGAUGACAGUGAACCUCCUCUGGGUGCAGGCCUGGUGGGGCUGGGACGACGGGCUCUGCCCCGGCUGGGGUGGCCUGGAGCUGAGCCCGGCGCCAGGGAUCCCUGCCGGGGGGCAGCCCUCGGCACCCUCCCCCGCCUCUUCUGACAUUUCCUUCACUAGAAACAAAGAAUGCAAACAGAACAAAGCAUGUAACCCACGCUCUCAUUCCCUGAGGCUUCUCUUCUGAGUAAAUUUCCUUACUUCCGGCCGAGCUCACAAAGGUGUCUCUGUAAAGCUUUUUGAAUCCGCAGCUCGUCCACAUGGAGGCAGGGCGUCCAGCUGCGAGGGCACCGCGUCACCUGUUACUGUCUGCAUGCUGCCAGCCGGCACCGGCUGGGGUCCUGCGAUUCACUUGGCUCCAACACUCGCUGCCCGGUGCUGGGCAGACCCCACAGCUAGGGGUUCCCCGGCUGCAGGCACCAGUCAAAAGUCCCAGCUUUCCACCUGUCCUCUGACUGUAAAUUCGGGGGUUCCCGCAGCCCCUCCUCAGUGUCCGUCGUUCUCCAGGACGACUCACGGAGCUCAGGAAGGUGCUCGGCUUAUUCCUACCGGUUUAUCGUGAAGGACACAGCUUGGGAGCAGCCAGACGGGAG